UUGUGAGUGGCGAUGUGGAGGCAGGAUAACGUCGUUUUGACUCUUACGUGACACUACUGGUAUUUGUGUUGAAGUUGUGGGACUCGUCAAAACCGUUGCUUCACACUUUCUUUUCCUUCUAACGGGAAGAUCUUCACUCUAGAAUUUUUAUUUUGAAACGGCUCAUUCUCCACAAGUGAAAAUCCACUCUGCAUCUUUUCUGCUGCUGCUGUUUCCCAGCCUGAUGAAAAGAAAAGAACAAUAGGUGGCAGUAGCAAGACUGGCAGUUGACCAUCACUAACAGGAAGUGGUUGUAAUGUGAGAAAAACGUGCUUUGUGAGUUUUUAUUCUUUUCUCUGAAUUUCAAAUGUACAUGAAACAACAUUUGUUGCAGUCUGAUUUAGCUUUGGCUCACUUGAACUUGCAGUUGGGCCGUUUCUCAGUUUUAGGAGGUCAAAUAGAUCCACUAGAUGAUGUGAGCUCAGCCUUUGGUGUGGAAAUACCGCAUUGCAUGAUGGGAAAUAUAAGCGCACUGUAUCUAAUAAAAUGUAAAAAUAAUCUUUGUCAGCCGUUGGGUCAAAGUGUUUGGUGUGUAUUGAUUUCCUGCAGAUCCACAGCCCCCUGUCGCCUGUGGUUGUGUCAAUGUGUAGAUUGUCUGCACCAUCGGUCAGCCCGGUUUGUGUGUGAAAGGCUGCCCUGCGUGUGAGCUGUACAACU